GACGAACGCUGGCGGCGUGCCUAAUACAUGCAAGUAGAACGCUGAAGAGAGGAGCUUGCUCUUCUUGGAUGAGUUGCGAACGGGUGAGUAACGCGUAGGUAACCUGCCUGGUAGCGGGGGAUAACUAUUGGAAACGAUAGCUAAUACCGCAUAAAAUUGAUUAUUGCAUGAUAAUUAAUUGAAAGAUGCAACUGCAUCACUACCAGAUGGACCUGCGUUGUAUUAGCUAGUUGGUGAGGUAACGGCUCACCAAGGCGACGAUACAUAGCCGACCUGAGAGGGUGAUCGGCCACACUGGGACUGAGACACGGCCCAGACUCCUACGGGAGGCAGCAGUAGGGAAUCUUCGGCAAUGGGGGGAACCCUGACCGAGCAACGCCGCGUGAGUGAAGAAGGUUUUCGGAUCGUAAAGCUCUGUUGUAAGAGAGGAACGGGUGUGAGAGUGGAAAGUUCACACUGUGACGGUAUCUUACCAGAAAGGGACGGCUAACUACGUG
rnacentral:rRNA from 1 species